CAGUGUGUUUCAGGUUUGUUUUGGAAUGUCUUCUGCUUAGUUCAAGUAGUUUGCGAUGGCUUCGAGCGGUGCUGAACCUCCUGCUGGUAGGAGCAGAGUCUCCGAGAGAGACAUGGACUGUGAUGCAGCUGUAGGAUUUUUUCAAGGCGCGGGAGGGAACGAUCUCGGGCCACAAACAGGAGUUACUCCAGAGAGCCAUCUUCUAUGAAGGUAACCGUGGUGUUGCCAAGUCACCAAGUCGCGAUCGCGAUCAGCAGCCCUGAAGUGGAAAAAUCGAUUUUCCAACGAUCUGGUUGGACAUCAGCCACUAAAGUACUUCUGAUUUGCCUGUAGUGACAACAGCAGCCAUCCUUGGACACCUUGCAAAGACAGGAAAAGCCACUGGUGGAAGCGACUGCUAUGAGGUGACGAUAGCAGUGCAGUGGUGAUCGCUGUUUUGUCAAGUCGAAGGGCUAGCCAACCCAGAGGAAGCAAAAAAACCGAUGAGCAGUGCGUGGUAUUUGUUGAGCGUGAAGAGCUAGAGGAGGAUAGUGCAAACACAUGGACGGAGUGGAUGGUGUUUGAAGAACAGUGUGCUGUGUGCCGGCUGGUGGUGAUGGUGGUCUUUGUCAGCAUGUAUUCGUGCUGCUUCUUGUGGUGGAACACUUCUCGCCCAGGAAGGCAGAUUGCGUGCUCCCUGGCCCUCAGUCGGCAAUGGGGCAUUUGUUCCAGGAACAUUACCCCAGAGCCAGUGAUGAGUCGUACCUUUGAAAAGUUUGAAGCUUGCUGUUAAUCGCAAGCGUAGCGCAGUGGAUUGCUCCCUCUUCGAAGCACGAGGGCCAAAGCUUGCCGCUGUCUGCAGCAAAGUGUGUGUGCGGUUCUUUCGAACCUAUGAAUAUACCCCCCCCCCCCCCCUCUAUCUCUUAGGAAGACUGCAUGUUCAGAGUGAACUAUUUUCUAGUAUAUUUAAUGUGAGACGGGCUGUUUACGCCCAAGAUGAAGAUACAGUUUUUUUCCGUUUCUAUACCUUCCUAAUAAAAUACAUCGUGACAGAGCUUUCGGUCAUACUCCGCUGUACUACAUCCUCAACCCGCCACCACCAUGCGCUCUUGGCCGAACUAAUGCACGAAGCAUAAACACACCAGCACAGCAAGGACACUUCCGUUGACAGAUAUUAUUUACGCCUCUAGACAGCUGUUUCGUUUCUUCUAGCUCAUUGUUAAAGGAGGAUAGUAGCAGGAUACUAAUGAUGAAAUAAUAUAAGAUGAUACUAGUAGACGGUUUAUGGUCCGAUAUUGAUGAUUGGAGAUCUAAGAAAGCAAUGACAGUGAUUGCGAAAUGGAUAAUAUUAUCAUGAUUA